rnacentral:rRNA from 1 species
UACGUAGGGUGCGAGCGUUGUCCGGAAUUAUUGGGCGUAAAGAGCUCGUAGGCGGUGUGUCGCGUCGGCCGUGAAAACCUGGGGCUCAACUCUGGGCGUGCGGUCGAUACGGGCAUCACUUGAGUUCGGCAGGGGAGACUGGAAUUCCUGGUGUAGCGGUGAAAUGCGUAGAUAUCUGGAGGAACACCGGUGGCGAAGGCGGCAUCCUGGACCAACACUGACGCUGAGGAGCGAAAGCCAGGGGAGCAAACGGG